AUGUUUCGCUUCAUCCUGAAGUUUUCUCAAGCAUCUGCUAAGAUGCUUAAGUACUCUUUUGCAGUGGGACUAGGAGCCAGCAGAGGAACAGAUACACGUUCUCUCAAGACGUCUCUCCAGCAGAACUUUUCCCCUUUGUUUCCGAGGCCUUGGAUUUUCCCAACAUUUCCAGUGUAUAUGAACAAGACACAAUGCUAUCAUACAUCCCCCUGCAACUUUAAAAAGCAGGAGUAAGCAGUACUUCCAGCCAGGCCACCAAGCACCAUCAUGUACCUGCCUGACAGCCCAAAGCCAGCAUUAUAGGUAACUCUGGCAGGACUAAUCCCCUUCAUUGGUCCACCACUGGUCCUGCUAAUGACAAAGACUUAUAUUCCCCUAUUAGCCUUUACUCAGAUGGAGCCAGUUUCCUAUCCUUGUGGUGGUCAGAUGGGGUUUUGCUGUAUCAGAAGGCAGUCCAGCCAAACCCGACUUCCUUCAUUUAGCUAAUAGUACAGUUCCUGUUGUUUUCACGGUUUGCCUUAUUUCUGAAAGACUCAGCGAAGCCAUAGCAAUCAUAGGUAACGGGGAUAGCAUUACACAUCUGUUUCUUUUGCCACAUUAUCCCAACUGGUUCAAAGCCCUGAGGAAAGUAGUCACUUUAUUGGCCACUUUUUCAUUUAUAAUCACUUUAGUGUUAAAAAUAUUUACCCACAGAAUGGACCUAAGCGACCUGGUCAAGUA
rnacentral:lncRNA from 1 species